rnacentral:rRNA from 1 species
UACGUAGGUCCCGAGCGUUGUCCGGAUUUAUUGGGCGUAAAGCGCGCGCAGGUGGUUUAUUAAGUCUGGUGUAAAAGGCAGUGGCUCAACCAUUGUAUGCAUUGGAAACUGGUAGACUUGAGUGCAGGAGAGGAGAGUGGAAUUCCAUGUGUAGCGGUGAAAUGCGUAGAUAUAUGGAGGAACACCGGUGGCGAAAGCGGCUCUCUGGCCUGUAACUGACACUGAGGCUCGAAAGCGUGGGGAGCAAACAGG